CUCUUCCUAUGAUGUCAGCACUGGGCUCUGAAAUCUGAGUGAGAAUUGUGCCCCGCUGUGACUUGACAUACAGUGGGACUGAGGGGGGC